UACAGAGGGGGCAAGCGUUAUUCGGAAUUACUGGGCGUAAAGGGCUCGUAGGUGGCCAACUAAGUCAGACGUGAAAUCCCUCAGCUUAACUGGGGAACUGCGUCUGAUACUGGAUGGCUUGAGUUUGGGAGAGGGAUGCGGAAUUCCAGGUGUAGCGGUGAAAUGCGUAGAUAUCUGGAGGAACACCGGUGGCGAAGGCGGCCUGCUGGGCAGUAGCUGACGCUGAAGCGCGACAGCGUGGGGAGCAAACAGG
rnacentral:rRNA from 1 species